AGUAAAGUCAGCUAAAUAAGCUCUUGGGCCCAUACCCCAACUAUGUAGGUUCGAAUCCUUCCUUUACUA
rnacentral:tRNA from 1 species